AAAAAGGCAAACUCUAGGUUUCUGUGUCCAACUUUGACUGUCUGUCUUAUAUGAAAUUUUAUUUAUAAUUUGUAUUUUCAUUGUUGUUAGAUGAUAAAACAUGAUUAAUAUUUUAUGCGUGACAAAUAAGAUGGACGGUCAAACGUUGGACACGGAAACCAGGGUUUGUCUUAUU
rfam:Oryza sativa (indica cultivar-group) chromosome 2, whole genome shotgun sequence.